rnacentral:rRNA from 1 species
CCCUUAGAUGUUCGGGGCCGCACGCGCGCUACACUGAAGGAAUCAGCACGUCUUUCUCCUUGUCCGAAAGGACUGGGUAACCCGCUGAACCUCCUUCGUGCUAGGGAUUGGGGCUUGUAAUUCUUCCCCAUGAACGAGGAAUUCCCAGUAAGCGCGAGUCAUAAGCUCGCGUUGAUUAUGUCCCUGCCCUUUGUACACACCGUCCGUCGCUACUACUGAUUGGGUGUUCAAGUGAGAUGCUUAGACCCUUGUUGCAUGGUUCAUUAUUGUGCUCCGAAAGGAAAAAGUUUCAAGCUUGAGUGUCUAGAGGAAGUAAAAGUCGUAACA